CUUCAAUGGUGCUGCCUGUGCACUCACAGAAGCCAUAAUGGGACAGAUACAGAAAACAAAAAGUCCCAUCACUCUCUAUGCACCGUUUACACAACAAACCAUCAGGGGGAAUCAGUCAGACUGGACAACAAUCCUCAGCUAAGCGAAUAAAUAGGGUCACUUCACUCAUGGCAAAGAGCUGCAGAUACACACUCAACAUGCUAACUAACAAACAGUCCUCUCUGCCCACCUGGUGCUCCAGGUCCCGACAGCGCUGGCCCAGAUCCUCCUUCGCCUCCACCUCCUCACUGAGAAAAUAAUACUUCCUGGACUGCAGACACGGAGAGAGGCACAAGGGAGGUUAUAGACAACACAGUGGGAGGUGACUUCCUGUUACCCAGCAGAGCCUCCUCUAUCCCAGCUAGCUCACCUUGCUUUUUCUCACAGCUGACAGCACAGCCAAGCACCAACUGCACCAGCUUGCCAAGUUCAGUCACAUCUCCAAACUCCCCAAUCAGAUUAAUGUCUGGCAGGUGCAAGUCUGCUACCUGGUGGCCAAGCACCUGUUCAUAGAAGGAUGGAGACAAUGGGGAUUGUGAAAAAAUAUAUGCAUUGAGCAAUGAUAUUUCAAAUGGACUAAGACAGAUGCAAACACUGAGGAACAACUGGAGGAGAAUGAGCUCUUAAAAGAAAUGCAGGAAACGUGCAUAUACCAUCCAUCCCUUCCUUCCGAUCUUUAAUGAGGAAAAGCCUUUACUCACAUCAUGGUAAUACUCAAGCAUGCUCUGAAGAAUCUUCUUCAGGUUGCUGACCUGGAGGAAAAUGAAAUAAAUCUGAGCUGGAGAACACAGGCAUCUUUGCCUUGGUGAAAAUACACCAUCUUUAAACAGUAAGGCCAGUGGUCACUCUAGGUUGCCUAGGUGACAACCUAGAGGCACUGUGUUAUAUCCUUCUAUCUCAUACUGCACCUUGAGGCGCCAGUUGGCCUCACUCUCCUCCUUGAUCCUGCCCAGCCAUGCCUCAUUAAACCAGGAGGGGUCUCUGUUAACGAGAUGAAACACUUAACAAUACAUAUUCUAGGGACAUACAAUACACAGGAUCCACAGGGCAGAGUAUUUCUAAACUGGAAAACGCAAACUCCCUAAUGUGACACUCAAUGAAUGUCACAACAAGCAAGCAAUCAUGGGAAACUUGCUUGAGGCCAGAAUUGCCAUGACCCAAUUCAACGAACCUUCAGAUAAAAGCACUGCUUGUUUCCAGUUCGAUACAUUUCUAUGUGUGUGUGUGUGUGUGUGAACAGAAAGGCACACAAAUACUACAGCAGUUGAGGUAUGAAGGUAAUUUGGCUUGGACAGACAGUACCCUUAAAUGGACAGGCCCUUGCACAAAAUCCCACCUGGGCACAAUCUGCAAGACCCAGGCCUUGAGAAAUAUGGACCUAUUCCCUAUCAAGCGUAGGAAUAGAAAUAAAACAGACUAACAGCCCAUCCUCUAACUUUACAAAAAGGCUUUUGAAUAGAUGAUUGAAUUUGCUCUAAUCAGGUUCUACUCAAAGUAGUUCAAGGCCCAGAACAAAAUGUCAGUGUGCAACUGAUAAGCAAAUCGGUCUGUGAAUUGAGAAUGACUGGGAUUGAAUGUACUCCACAAAUCUCUUACUAUUGCCAUUUGCUACUGUGACAGGGUAAUGGGUUCUGCAAGUAAGGACCUUUUUCUGCGUUCACAUGCUAGUCAGAACUAGGAAAUUCGGAAAUGUACAACUCGCUAACUGAUUGCAGUUAUACAUGUGCCGCGUUCAUCGAAUCAGCAAGUCGGACAUUUCUGAGUUUCCUAGUUCCGACUAACAUGUGAACACUGCAUACAUCCUACGCUUAGCUGUUGUCUACUCUUGUGUUAACCCACCACCACCAUUAUCACCAACCUCAAAACACACAAAAAAAUGUUGUGCCCUUACAUCCUGUGUAGAACGUGUGCAAUAGCCACUCCGCUCAUCAGGUCCUCCUUGCUGGUGCAUGAUGGCACCUGAAAUGUUUGUAGCUGGAAGGGUUGGACAUGAUGAAUGAACAGAAAAUGUGUUAGUGUGUCAUUUAUUAUACUUCACGUCAAUCAAUUAGAAAUCAACUGAUCGAGAAGAGGAACAAUGCAAAUGCUACUUGCCAACACGUUGGGCAAAUUGCUUGCUAUUUGGGGUUUUAGGAUGGGUAUCUAUUAAGUACUUUUUGACAACUGUUGAUAAAAGAGGGCUUUAUAAAA